UACGUAGGGGGCAAGCGUUGUCCGGAUUUAUUGGGCGUAAAGCGCUCGCAGGCGGCUCGAUGCGUCGUGCGUGAAACACCCCGGCUCAACUGGGGAGGGUCGUGCGAUACGGUCGGGCUGGAGGCCAGUAGGGGGAUGCGGAAUUCCGGGUGUAGUGGUGGAAUGCGUAGAGAUCCGGAGGAACACCAGCGGCGAAGGCGGCAUCCUGGACUGGUACUGACGCUCAUGAGCGAAAGCGUGGGGAGCGAUCCGG
rnacentral:rRNA from 2 species